rnacentral:lncRNA from 1 species
GUUUGUAAUAAUACGAGCAACACGAUAGGUACCACAUAUGGAGCAGUUUCUGCUUAUCAUCCCCGGAGCAUCCAGAGAUAACACUUAGUUUUUGUCGGGGGUCGUGUUUUUUAGUCUUUUGUUUUCCAUGUUGUUUCUUAUGUAUUAUUAUUUAUCUGUUUGUCUAUUUUUUUUUUUUUAGCAAUGGCGUGAUGUCAGUUUAUCGUCGAUCUAUGAUAUUUCCUGUUGUAUCUUUUGAACCUCUUUAGGGGUAGGCACAUGCAUACAAAGGUAGCUGGGUUGAAUCUGUAACCGAGAUCCCGAACC